rnacentral:rRNA from 1 species
CCAAUAGCGUAUAUUAAAGUUGUUGCAGUUAAAAAGCUCGUAGUUGAAUUUCGGGAUCAGACUGUCGGUCGUGCCUCGGUACGCACUGGCAUUAUUGGUUUCUCCCUUCUGAAGAACCAUGAUGUCAUUAAUUUGGUGUCUUGGGGAAUCAGGACUGUUACUUUGAAAAAAUUAGAGUGUUUAAAGCAGGCUCGCGCUUGAAUACAUUAGCAUGGAAUAAUGAAAUAGGACGUUUGAUUCUAUUUUGUUGGUUUCUAGGAUCGACGUAAUGAUUAAUAGGGAUAGUUGGGGGCAUUAGUAUUCAAUUGUCAGAGGUGAAAUUCUUGGAUUUAUUGAAGACUAACUACUGCGAAAGCAUUUGCCAAGGAUGUUUUCAUUAAUCAAGAACGAAAGUUAGGGGAUCGAAGACGAUCAGAUACCGUCGUAGUCUUAACCAUAAACUAUGCCGACUAGGGAUCGGAUGAUGUUAAUUUUUUAAUGACUCAUUCGGCGCCUUACG